CAUUUUUUUAUGUUUACAUUUAAAAUAUGUGCAUAAAAAUAAUAAUAAGUGCUAUGUAAAAUUAAUAAAUUUAUUUAUUAUUUAGCACUUAUCACACCCCCGAACCUACAUUUUGCUAGUCCUCGAGCAAAUAAAAAAAACUAACUCACUUUCGCAGGAAUCGCGAUUGCAUUUACCGUAUGCAAUAAGGCUUUAAACCCCUAGGUGGCC
rnacentral:lncRNA from 1 species